AACCUGCCCACUGAGGAUUUAAAUGGCCGCGGUAUUUUGACCGUGCAAAGGUAGCAUAAUAAUUAGUUUUUUAAUUGAAAGCUGGUAUGAAAGGUUGGAUGAGAAAAUAACUGUCUCUAUUUAGAUUAAUUAAAAUUUUAUUUUUAAGUAAAAAAGCUUAAAUAUAAAUAGAAGACGAGAAGACCCUAUAGAGUUUUAAUUUAGUUGGGGUGAUUGAAAAAUUUAAUAAACUUUUUUUAUAUUUAACCAUUAAUUUAUGAAUAAUUGAUCCUUAAAUUAAGAUUAAAAGAAUAAAUUACCUUAGGGAUAACAGCGUAAUUUUUUUAAAGAGUUCUAAUCGAAAAAAAAGAUUGCGACCUCGAUGUUGGAUUAAAAUAAAAUUUUGGUGUAGAAGCUAA
rnacentral:rRNA from 1 species